rnacentral:rRNA from 1 species
UACGGAGGGGGCUAGCGUUGUUCGGAAUCAUUGGGCGUAAAGGGCGCGUAGGCGGCCGAUCAAGUCGGAGGUGAAAUCCCUCGGCUCAACUGAGGAAUUGCCUUCGAUACUGUUCGGCUUGAGUCCUGGAGAGGGUAGCGGAAUUCCUGGUGUAGCGGUGAAAUGCGCAGAUAUCAGGAAGAACACCAAUGGCGAAAGCAGCUCUCUGGGACGGUACUGACGCUGAGACGCGAAAGCGUGGGGAGCGAACAGG